UAAGACGAAAAAAACUUCACUUUGGAGCUAAACUCAACUGAAAUCCUCCUCUGCCACUCACUGGCUCAAGGAGACAAAUCAGCGAACCUGUGUGAGCGAAAUGGAAAUCUGUGAAAUGGGAGUUCUAGGAACAUCAAGUAGUGAGGACUAAAUGGGGCAGAUAAAAGUUGCCCUAGUACCUGGCCUUGCAAGAACUGAACAAAUGUUCAUUUCCUUUCUAUUUCUCUGGGUCAUAUGGAUCUUCAAAACCAGGUGGGACAAGGCAAAAAUAACUACGGGGACAACUGAGGUUCGGGCACUUUAACAAUGCAGUCGAAGGGCCAAAGUCUGAAACCCGGCUCCUCUUCCAAGUGGAAUGCUCUUUCCCUGGCAAGAAGCGACAGCCUGAUGAAAAGGAACAUCUGGAAGAGUAUUUUGGAAAGAUAAACAAGAAACUCUGAACAGCGGCUGCCUCUAGAGAGGAGGACUGGAGUAUCAGAAGUCAAGAGCCAGCUUAAAGUCAGGAGGAGGCACAAUGCUGAGAAGCCCAGAAAGUUCCCCAGAUUCCUCUAUGAUCUGGUCAACUUCAUUAAAACAAACUAUGUUCCCCGAGGAUUUGAUCGUGGAGGUGGUGUUGCUUGCUGUAUCACAGUUCCUAUGGCCACAGGCUCACAGUGAAAGGGAACAGGUAUACAUCAUCACCUUCCUGUAAAACUGGGAUCUGACCUCCUUUAUAGUCAACCAUGCAGCAGGCCCCCGCGCGAAUGGCACAGCAUGAACAGAAUCAAGACAGUCCUGAAUGACUUCAGUGGAAAAGAACACUAAAUGAAAUGAUGCAUGUGAAAGGAUGUGUUCUAUCCUUGGUUCAGCUUGCAUCCUGCAUAAUGGUUCACCAUUCAUCUUUCAUACCCAGAAGGGAGAUCAUCCAACCGAAAGGGUUGCAAACUGGCAGCCCCCAAGCCAAAUAAAACCCAUAAACCUGUCUGGUAUGAGUUCAGAAUGUUUAAAACAUGUUUUAAGUCAACUUUUAAAAAAUCCGUAUCUUUUCAGUGAAAAAAAAAAUCCAGUCAAUGCCCUCCUGUCAAAGGCUCUCAAGAACAAACCUAUAAUUGAACAAAGUUGGGUUUAUUGACUCAUUGCAGAAGGAGACCACACAAUAUGUGAAACUGUGAGACAUCUCAGUAAGAGAUGCUGUAAAUGACUUAUUGUAGGACUUGAACUUGUGUUAGGUUUCUGGGGAGGAUUCAAGAAAAUGAGCUGACUCUGAUUUAGAUGCUAUGAAGAAGUGGGGGAGUAGUUCUAUGAUUGGUAUCUUAACACUUUUAAUCUAAAUGAUAGGAAAACUAAAGCUAUCACUGAUAAAGAAUGAAAAGUAAUUUAUAUUAGGCAGGAUGUGGGUAUUGAGUCAUUUCUGUUGUUUGGAUAACGUUCUUGCUUUUUGUUCAUUUACUAUUUAUUUAUUUGGCUGUGCUGUGUCUUAGUUGUGGCAUGCAGGAUCUUUUA